UACGUAGGGGGCUAGCGUUGUCCGGAAUCAUUGGGCGUAAAGAGCGUGUAGGCGGCCCGGUAAGUCCGCUGUGAAAGUCGGGGGCUCAACCCUCGGAUGCCGGGUGGAUACUGUCGGGCUCGAGUACGGAAGAGGCGAGUGGAAUUCCGUGGUGGUAGCGGUGAAAUGCGCAGAUAGUCAAGGAGGAACACCGUAUUGCGAAGGCAGCCAUCGCUGGGACGUUACUGACGCUGAGACGCGAAGCGUGGGGAGCAAACAGG
rnacentral:rRNA from 1 species